UCACUAGAGAAUUUUGGAGGAGACCACAGUGACAGUGGUCCUGCCAAGGACCCGUGACCAGAAAAGAGGAACUGGUAACAGACGGGGAUUCAGCAAAAGAAAGGAAACUGAGCUCCAGCAAGAUUCCUGCAAGUGUCGAUGUCUUCUUGACAGAAAAUUGCAACAAGAGAAAGGUCUGUUCCUUUUCGGAUUGACUGUUCUCAACACCAGAAGCCUGAGAGGAAAGUUGGAGCAUAUGUUAGAGACCCUGGCUGCUAGAAGCUGUGCCAGGAGAGGCAGCAUGCAACAAGGAAAGGAUUGUUUUUGGGGAGAAGGCCUGAGAGAGAGUGCAGAUGGGUCUGAUUUAAACAACAGCCUUAUUAAAGGCACACAUUAUAUUUGUUGAUUAUCAGCAAAUGUGGUGCCCAUGUGGCUGUCCUGAUAUUGAGCAGCUGGACAGAUUACACCCUAGAGCCACAUCUGCGGACAAAUAGAUCAACACCAUUUUCACUGCCUUGUGUCCAAGAAGUUUAUCUUAUGUCGAACUCUGCAGUGAUGACUCAAGUGCUGUUGUACAAUGUUCCAGAUUUAGAUGAGACCACCCACAGUCCUCUGGGCCGUCGCUGCUCACCAUGUGGUCCACAGGCAGCAGCAAUAACACCUGCGAGCAUGUGGACAUGUGGUGCCUGCCCACUGCAAGCCUCCGGAGCCAGAAUCUGUCCUUGAGGAGGGUCUCUGGGUGAGGCCUGUGAAUAUGGAGGUUUGGGAAGCACUGGACUAAUCCGUUUUCUCUGUCUUGAGACCUAAAUUCCUCUGCCUCUUUCCUAAGCAGUUUCUAUU